rnacentral:rRNA from 1 species
UACAGAGGGUGCGAGCGUUAAUCGGAAUUACUGGGCGUAAAGCGCACGUAGGCGGCUUGGUAUGUCGGGUGUGAAAUCCCCGGGCUCAACCUGGGAACUGCAUCCGAAACUGCCUUGCUAGAGUAUGGGAGAGGGAAGUGGAAUUUCCGGUGUAGCGGUGAAAUGCGUAGAUAUCGGAAGGAACAUCAGUGGCGAAGGCGACUUCCUGGACCAAUACUGACGCUCAGGUGCGAAAGCAUGGGGAGCGAACAGG